rnacentral:lncRNA from 1 species
UCCACCAGCCGGCCAGGGUGGCAGGCCCAUGUAGAAAGCCCAUCUAAAAGCCUGAGUAUAAAUACCGCGAGCUAACCCUAACCCAACACAUUCAUUCCUCUUUCUCUAGGACACCAGCCGCCACUUCUUAGCCAGUGCGACUCACGAGUCCGGCGCCCUACGACUCCGACUAUCCAUGCUACUCCGUCGCCGGCCAGACCUCAAGACCACUUGUUGGUCCACACGGUGAGGCCGUGGGCAGCGCACAGCACAUCACGUCGGAGCUGCAUGGACGCAAAGGCACCAACAAAUCUUCAAAUCCGAUGCCAUGUUCUAGUCCUGUAGAUAUCUUUGGGGUUUGAUCCUGGUAUUCUUUCAUUAAAAUAUUUGGUCUCCUAUCUCCCUAUCUCCUUCUGUUACAACUCCUAGGAUUGGAUUCAAGCAUGUUGCGUCUCCUACUCUCCUCGGAUCUUCUGUAUUUUUUUUCAAAUUUAGCCAUGCCAUGGAUUAUUCAAUCAAUGUUGUUGUUUUGCUAUCACUGUGUGCUGUGUAUAUUCCUAUUGAAUUUCUAAUGACUACAAUAUUUAAUUUAAGACACGAUUUACACGGGGACGGGGAUCCCCAUCGGGUGCAAAAUCCCCGCGGGGAUCGGGGAUGGGGAGAAAACGUCCC